rnacentral:rRNA from 3 species
UACGGAGGGUGCGAGCGUUGUUCGGAAUCACUGGGCGUAAAGGGCGUGUAGGCGGUCCGCUAAGUCUGAUGUGAAAGCCCGGGGCUCACCCCCGGAAGGGCAUUGGAAACUGGCGGACUCGAGUCCCGGAGAGGAAGGUGGAAUUCCUGGUGUAGCGGUGAAAUGCGUAGAUAUCAGGAGGAAUACCGGUGGCGAAGGCGGCCUUCUGGACGGUGACUGACGCUGAGACGCGAAAGCGUGGGGAGCAAACAGG